GACGAACGCUGGCGGCGUGCCUAAUACAUGCAAGUAGAACGCUGAAGAGAGGAGCUUGCUCUUCUUGGAUGAGUUGCGAACGGGUGAGUAACGCGUAGGUAACCUGCCUUGUAGCGGGGGAUAACUAUUGGAAACGAUAGCUAAUACCGCAUAACAAUGGAUGACACAUGUCAUUUAUUUGAAAGGGGCAAUUGCUCCACUACAAGAUGGACCUGCGUUGUAUUAGCUAGUAGGUGAGGUGAUGGCUCACCUAGGCGACGAUACAUAGCCGACCUGAGAGGGUGAUCGGCCACACUGGGACUGAGACACGGCCCAGACUCCUACGGGAGGCAGCAGUAGGGAAUCUUCGGCAAUGGGGGCAACCCUGACCGAGCAACGCCGCGUGAGUGAAGAAGGUUUUCGGAUCGUAAAGUUCUGUUGUAAGUCAAGAACGGGUGUGAGAGUGGAAAGUUCACACUGUGACGGUAGCUUACCAGAAAGGGACGGCUAACUACGUG
rnacentral:rRNA from 1 species